ACCACGCCUUCCCUUUCUGCCUCUCUACCCAAGCAUACAGAGUAGCACACACACACAUAUAUAUAUAUAUAUGGUCCGGAUUACGGUGGAGCUGCUCCGUCGCCGCGCGGAGCACAACGAGGGCUGCCUCUCGAACCUGAAAGAGAUCGCUCUUCAUCAGCAGGAUAUUGAAAAGAUCGAUCUCAUCGGCGACGCAUGCCGCCAGCUGGAGAUUAUCUACCUCUGCAACAACUAUAUCAGCCACAUCGAAGGACUACGGCACCUGAAGUGGCUGAAGUACCUCAACCUCGCCGUGAACAAUAUUACGGUAAUUGACGGGCUUCAAGGGUGCGAGGCGCUGGAACGGCUGGACCUCACGCUGAACUUCAUUGCGGAUCCGACAUCGGUGCAGACACUGCUCGCGAAUCCGUUUCUGGAGUCGCUACACCUGACAGGCAACCCAUGCACGAAGACGGAGGGUUACCGCGCCUAUGUCAUUCACUCAUUGCCUCAGUUGAAGGAGCUGGACGGCGAUGAGAUCAUCAGAGCGGAGCGCAUCAUGGCGCGACAGGCGGAGGACGUGGUGAUUGAGGUGGCCGAGGAGGAGGCGAUGAAGGUGCGCGAGGCGGAGCGCAUCAAGCAAGAGAUGCUAGCAAAGGGAAUAGAUCCGUUUCCGCCCAAGUACAACGACAAGGGCGAGCGUGUGUACGGGCACACACCGGAGGAGCGUCUGCAGAUGUUGCACGAGCAGCAGCAGAUGGAGCGGAAGAAAAGGGAAGAGCAGUCGACCCCGCAGCCCGGCAGCAUCGCUGCUCUCCAUCAGGAACUGAAGAGGCAGCAACAGCCGUCAAAGCGUCUGACCGCCGAGGAGGAGCGCAGCAAGUUUGGUCGUCUACUGCUGCGCAACGAACCCCGCGUGCCUUUCCACGUGAACCAGGACGACGCUGCGGAGUUCGUGCUCACCGUGGAGCCUGGCAAGUUCAUCUCCACCACGCUGCUCUCUGUGCAGGUAGAGGUUGAUGUGGUGCGGGUUUUCAUCAAGGGGAAGCUGCUCCAGGUGCCGGUCGAGGACGAGCUUGCGGCGGACGCGGCGCAGGUGCAGCGCUCUACCACGACCGGACAGCUAAAGGUGACGGUGCCGUACGCACCGGAGGUGCAGGAACGACGGGGCGGCGCGCGUGCGCGCCUCAGAGGGCUGCGCGAGGUGACCGAAAAGGCUUCCAACGCAACCGGGACGAGUGCGGCGAGCACAACCCCACCGCCUACAGCUUUUCCUCCAAAGGCGGCUAGACCACCCACCCGCUCCACACUCCUGGAGAUCGAGAGUCGCAUGGGCGGUAGCUCAUCACCAUCCCUAUCGAUCAAUCAGACAGGGACAACAGGCACCCUCAACAGCAGUGGUAAGGACACCACCACGGCGAGCAGUAGCAUCGUAAAAUCUGUGGAGGACAUCUCGCCUGUGCCGUCUACCAUGAAAGUUUCCGCAGAUGCGGCUACAUUGGCGUCGCAGCUUAUUACCGCAGUGCUGGCUCCGACCACUGCGGCAUCGAGUCACUGAAGCGACUUGGGUCAAGAAACACCCGCAACACCGAGGACGGCACAGAGAGAGUGUGCGCACAUUGGUUGGCGGCACAGACGCGAAUUCACCGGGCUUACCCCAAGCCCAUAGAGACGGGCGUGCUUCUUGGCACUAUUGUGCUCUUAGCCCUGCUGUUACAGAUGAUGUACAUAGUGCUUUGUGGCGUGGUUCAAGAAUGCAACGCAAAGGAUGUAGGGAGCGUGGGGCGCGUGGGCCACCCACGGUACAUCGCGUUGUGUGUGCCUGUGUGUGCGUGCCGUAACAGUGCAGAGUAGGACAUGGAUAAUGGGCGAGAGACCUUCGCAUCUUCUGAGAACUGUUUUUCUCGUCGGCCGUGAUGCCGUGCGUAGCGACGUCUCGUACGAGAAGGGGGCUUGGUGCCGGAUAGUUUUUUUUUUUUCGUUCUUUGUCGCCGAUUCGUUCUCUAUCUAUGUCUUACUCGAAGAGCUGUCAUCGCUCUUCGCGGCCACGACGCACGUCUCUUUAGCUUGUCUGCGUGGCCGUGCACUCCUUCACUGUUCUCUUUCUCACCUUUUCGUCCUGCUGUCCGUUUGCGCAGCGUAGCGACUCAUUAGCACGAGCGACAACACAC
rnacentral:misc_RNA from 1 species